AUGGCCACUGAUUCAGUCACUCUGCAGCACACAGCUUCUGGAUGAGAUUCAAACACCCUACCAGUUCAUCAUUAUCCACCUAUUAUCUUGCAAUUGUGCCUCAUCUAAUCAGUUCUCAAAUCAAGCUGUGAAAGCUGGCAAGAUACUGGCCUCUGGACAAUGGAACUUGGCGAUAAUUUCGAAGAUAUUGCCUAGUCUGGGAAACAUGAAAUGUCAGGAAUGAUUGAAUGGAGGAGAGGAAAUGAAUAAGAGAAUGUAUGUCAAAUGCAAGAAUGAAAUGGCAGUAGAAGGCGGAAAUCUUGAUUUUCAGGUUUGUCUCUGGAUAUAACUAGAAAUGCUGAACUACAAUGAGUAAAGGCAUGGAAAGUAUAUUAGGAAAUGUGAAGGGGUUCUCAAUUGACCUAAAUAUUCUCGACAGUUAUGAAUGAAUUCUCAUGUUCCUGCUGAAGUAUGGCCCAGAGGACUCUCUUCUGUCCCCUGAAGCUCCAAAUGACCAUUCUACACUGGGAGGCUGGGGAAAAUCCUCCUUCCUCCACAACACCACUAC